AGACAUAGACCAAACCUUCGAACCUACCAAAGGCCAGUCACCAGCAAACAAUACUCGAGACUUGUCUUUAAUACCUUGUAUAUGAUUCUCAGUCGAAGCAUCAUUGAACUGCAGAUCGAUAAUUAUAAAAACGUUGAUCCCUGAAACAUCUUCCACUUUUCAGACUUUUGAAGUAAUUUCGAAAAUUUCCACCUUUCUUCUUUAGGAGGAUCCAGCUUUUUUUUUUAACACACACUCAUCAAAUUCCAGUUUUCCUCUGUGCGCACAGAUCAGAUCACUGAUCUUCAAGUAUCACCAGCUCACAAUUUCUUAUGGUCUUUCCUAGUGCUGCAAUUGAUCUCAAAAGAGCACACAGAGGCAGAAGCAAGAUAGUUUCAAACCAUGACGACGUUGUCAAAAUCUCCGACAAGAACCAGAUGGCUAAGCCCAUGACAUAUAUUGAACCAGAUGUCUAAUGUCUCUUAUUGAUAUGUUCGCGUUUGCUUAUAGAUGCGUAAAGAGUCUAUUUUUCUAAACGUCCCACAUCGACAAGUUAGAGAGCAUUGGUCAUAAGAUGUGUAAUAUAUAAAGAAAGCUGAGCCCAUUGUCCAAUUCAUACCUUUCUCGGCCUUUUGGCUAAGAUCAAGUGUAGUAUCUGUUCUUAUCAGUUUAAUAUCUGAUAUGUGGGCCAUCGGCCCACACGAUAUUAACUCUAUUUUUUAAGGGAGAAAGCCCACUAAGAUAGCUUGCUAUCUGGGCUUUCAAGAGUCGCCCAUGCGUUGCACUACUGCAAGGGCUGGCUCAACCCGCCAGCUAACCAGUCAAAUUUUGUCUCUCUAAUUAAUCAAACUCUAUAAAACAAAAUUAAUUAAUUAACACCAAAUCAAAAUGAACAGAGGAAGAU